GAGGACUCCCGGUCUGGGCUUUUCCAUUUGAAAGACUCUGGCUGAACUUUCCCUGCUACCUGGUUGCAGAUUGCUUUCAGAGUCUUGUCUAGACCUGGCUUUCUGGUUUUUCUUAAAAAAAAGCAACACUACACAGUUCUUCAGCUGGAGAUGAAUUUGUGCUGACUGCUCAGUUCUGUCCUGAGGGUCUCUGGUGGAGGACCACAGAGCUCACUUACCAGGUGUUCAGGGGGCACACCAUGGCCAUUUGAGUAGUUAGCAGGGCCUGUCCCAGUCUUGCCUGAGUUCCUGAGCAAAGCCUGCUACCCACCCCCUGCACACUCUGCAAAGCAUUUCUGUCACAGCAAACUGUUGAUCAGCCCCUUGCCCUCCCUCCCCCAGGGGCAGGAUUAGACACAAGAGAAGAAUCAAACACUUAUGUUUCCUUUUAGUCGAAGACACCGGGAGAAAGUAGAUUGUGACCCUUAGCUAUGGACAGCAUCCAGAGACUUAAAAAUAGCUGAAUUUUACUGCAACGUUAAUAGAACCUAAAGGUUUCAGGCACCUAUGCAGGUGAAAAUCUUUGGAUUUCCAGCUGCAUAUCGAUGAAUGAUUCCAGUUUAAAGUCAGUGAACAGUGGGGCGAACUCAGGCAUUACAGGAAUGAAGAUGGAAUUGCUGAAAUACCCCUGCCAUGGCAUCUUUCAUCCCCUCUCUACACACACGCUUCUCUAGGUCACAGAAGCUAUGGGGAGGCCUCUGGCACCCUGGGAAGCUCUUUGAUCUACAACUU
rnacentral:lncRNA from 1 species